GUACCCGCUGAACUUAAGCAUAUCAAUAAGCGGAGGAAAAGAAACCAACAGGGAUUGCCCCAGUAACGGCGAGUGAAGCGGCAACAGCUCAAAUUUGAAAUCUGGCUUCGGCCCGAGUUGUAAUUUGCAGAGGAAGUAUUUGGCGCGGUGCCUUCCGAGUUCCCUGGAACGGGACGCCAUAGAGGGUGAGAGCCCCGUCUGGUUGGACACCAAGCCUGUGUAAUACUCCUUCGACGAGUCGAGUAGUUUGGGAAUGCUGCUCUAAAUGGGAGGUAAAUCUCUUCUAAAGCUAAAUACCGGCCAGAGACCGAUAGCGCACAAGUAGAGUGAUCGAAAGAUGAAAAGCACCUUGAAAAGGGGGUUAAACAGUACGUGAAAUUGUUGAAAGGGAAGCGUUUAUGACCAGACUUGUGCCGUGUGGCUCAUCCGGGGUUCUCCCCGGUGCACUCCACACGGUUCAGGCCAACAUCGGUUCUCGUUGGGGGAUAAGAACAGUAGGAACGUGGCCCUCUUCGGAGGGUGUUAUAGCCUAUUGUACGAUACCUUGAUGGGGACCGAGGACCGCGCUUCGGCUAGGAUGUUGGCGUAAUGGUCAUUAGCGACCCGUCUUGAAACACGG
rnacentral:rRNA from 1 species